rnacentral:rRNA from 1 species
GAUGAACGCUAGCGGCGUGGAUAAGGCAUGCAAGUCAAGGGGGUCGCCUUCGGGCGAUCACCGGCAAACGGGUUAGUAACACGUAGAUACAUACCAUUCACACGGGCAUAAUCCGUCGAAAGGCGGACUAAUUCCCGAUAGUCCCGCCCUCGGGUGGGUAAAUGGUUUCGAGUAAUCGAUUCCGGUGGAUGAAUGGUCUGCGGCUUAUCAGCUUGUUGGUGAGGUAAUGGCUUACCAAGGCAAUGACGGGUAGGGGAUAUGAGAGUGUGUUCCCCAACAAGGGCACUGCGACACGGGCCCUACUCCUACGGGAGGCAGCAGUCGAGAAUAAUUCGCAAUGGGCGAAAGCCUGACGAUGCGACGCCGCGUGCUCGAAGAAUCCCUUCGGGGCGUAAAGAGCUUUUCUGGAGGAAGAACCCGCCCUCGGGCGGGUGACGGUACUCCAGGAAUAAGGAGAUGCUAAUCACGUGCCAGCAGCAGCGGUAAUACGUGAUCUCCAAGCGUUAUCCGGAUUUAUUGGGCGUAAAGCGUUCGUAGGCGGUUAGAUAAGUCUCUGGUUAAAGCCCCAUGGCUUAACUAUGGGAAUGCCAGAGAUACUGUCUGACUAGAGGGCGUUAGAGGCUGAUGGAACGGUCGGUGUAGGGGUGAAAUCCGUUGAUAUCGACCGGAACACUAAAAGCGAAGGCACUCAGCUAGAGCGACCCUGACGCUGAGGAACGAAAGCGUGGGUAGCGAACGAGAUUAGAUACCUCGGUAGUCCACGCUGUAAACGAUGGACACUAGCUAUUUGAAGUGUCGACCCUUCAAGUGGCGAAGCUAACGCGUUAAGUGUCCCGCCUGGGAAGUACGGCCGCAAGGCUA